AUACGUAGGUGGCAAGCGUUAUCCGGAAUUAUUGGGCGUAAAGAGGGAGCAGGCGGCAGCAAGGGUCUGUGGUGAAAGCCUGAAGCUUAACUUCAGUAAGCCAUAGAAACCAGGCAGCUAGAGUGCAGGAGAGGAUCGUGGAAUUCCAUGAGUAGCGGUGAAAUGCGUAGAUAUAUGGAGGACCAACAGUGGCGAAGGCGACGAUCUGGCCUGCAACUGACGCUCAGUCCCGAAAGCGUGGGGAGCAAAUAGGAUUAGAUACCCUAGUAGUCCACGCCGUAAACGAUGAGUACUAAGUGUUGGAUGUCAAAGUUCAGUGCUGCAGUUAACGCAAUAAGUACUCCGCCUGAGUAGUACGUUCGCAAGAAUGAAACUCAAAUGAAUUGACGGGG
rnacentral:rRNA from 1 species